GAGACGGUUCUCUAUGAGGUCCGUCAUCGGAAUGGGUACAAUUUAAACCCUUUAACGAGGAUCUAUUGGAGGGCAAGUCUGGUGCCAGCAGCCGCGGUAAUUCCAGCUCCAAUAGCGUAUAUUAAAGUUGUUGCGGUUAAAAAGCUCGUAGUUGGAUCUGCGGUCUCGCGAGCUGGUCCCCCACAGGGUGUGACUGGUUUCGCAGGCCUACCUCGCUGGUUUUCCCUUGGUCCUCUUCACUGAGUGCCUUGGGUGACCAGCAAGU
rnacentral:rRNA from 1 species